rnacentral:tRNA from 1 species
AAGGACAAUAGUUUAACAAAAACAUUUAAAUUGCAAUUAAAAAAUAUUAAUUAAAAUUUGUCUU